AAAGGUGAAACCUAAUUGGCCUGGAGAAGAGCUUGCGUCUGAUUAGCUAGUUGGUGGGGUAAAGGCCUACCAAGGCGACGAUCAGUAGCUGGUCUGAGAGGAUGAGCAGCCACACUGGGACUGAGACACGGCCCAGACUCCUACGGGAGGCAGCAGUGGGGAAUUUUCCGCAAUGGGCGAAAGCCUGACGGAGCAACGCCGCGUGAGGGGGGAAGGUCUUUGGAUUGUAAACCUCUUUUCUCAAGGAAGAAGUUCUGACGGUACUUGAGGAAUCAGCCUCGGCUAACUCCGUGCCAGCAGCCGCGGUAAUACGGGGGAGGCAAGCGUUAUCCGGAAUUAUUGGGCGUAAAGCGUCCGCAGGUGGUCAGCCAAGUCUGCC
rnacentral:rRNA from 1 species